rnacentral:rRNA from 1 species
UUGGAGGAAUGUAUAUCGACUCUGUCGAAUAAAGUUCUAGUUAAGKUAUGAUAAUGACAUUUCUUAACUAUGUGUCUUGACCAAAUCACGUGCCAGCAGUCGCGGUAAUACGUGGAAGACUAGUGUUAUUCAUCUUUAACAGGUUUAAAGGGUACCUAGACGGUAAAUCAAGCCCCAAAAGGGUACUAAUUUACUAGAGUUUAAUAAGAGAGGGGGAGUACUGAUGAGUGGAGCGAUGAAAUUUUUUGAUACCAUUAGGAACAGACAAAGGCGAAAGCGACCUUUUACAUGAAACUGACGUUGAGGGACGAAGGCUUUAGUCGUGAACAGGAUUAGAUACCCAAGUAAUUAAAGCAGACAAUGAUGAAUGUCAUAGAUUAGAAUAGUAAUCCCUGCAUGUCUACGGAUAAAGGGCAUGGAGGCGUAAGUAGAUUGAAAAGUCUAUUUAUAUUGGAUAAUAAUAUUCCAGUUACUUUUAAUUAAAAAUAUUCCAGUUACUUUUAAUCUAUAAAUGAAAGUGUAAGCAUUCCACCUCAAGAGUAAUGUGGCAACGCAGAAACUGAAAUCAUUAGACCGUUUCUGAAACCAGUAGUGAAGUAUGUUGUUUAAUUAGAUAAUCCGCAAAAGACCUCACCACAAUUUGUAUAUUAUUAUUUUAUAAUAAUACAAGCGUUGCACGGCUGUCUUCAGUUAAUGUCGUGAGAUUAGGUUAGUUCCAUUAAAUUAACGUAAACCCUUGCUUUAUUUAUAUUAUAAAGUAGAUCACCGCUAUAUUGGAUGUGAUAAUAGGGACUAAGACAAGUCAUCAUGGCCUGAAUAUUGUGGGCGAUAGACGUGCCACAUAAUCGGAGACAAAGGGAUGCAAAAUUGKAAAUAAAGCUAUCCCCC